AUGCUGACUUGCCUGCUACUUCUCCUGGGACAAGGCUCUGUGUUCGGCGCUCUUGUCUCUCAAAAGCCACGCAGGGACAUCUGUCAACGUGGGACCUCCGUGACCAUCCACUGUGAGGUCGAUACCCAAGUCACCUUUAUGUUCUGGUACCGUCAGCUCCCAGGACAGAGCUUGAUACUGAUCGCAACCGCAAACCAGGGUGCAGAGGCCACCUACGAAAGUGGAUUUACCAGGGAGAAGUUUCCCAUCAGCCGCCGAACCCUAAUGUUCUCCACUCUGACUGUGAGCAACCUGAGCCUCGAAGACAGCAGCUCUUACUUCUGCAGCGCUAGAGACACAGCGCCCAGCACAGAUCAACACUUUGGAACAGGCACCAGGCUCACCGUGACAGAGGAUCUGCAGAAGGUCACCCCUCCCACGGUCACAGUGUUUGAACCAUCAGAAGCAGAGAUCUCGCGGACCCAGAAGGCCACACUCGUGUGCCUGGCCACGGGCUUCUACCCCGACCACGUGGAGCUGAGCUGGUGGGUGAACGGGAAGGAGGUCACAAGUGGGUUCAGCACCGACCCGCAGCCCUACAAGGAGAGGCCCAGCGAGAAUGACUCCAGCUACUGUCUGAGCAGCCGGCUGAGGGUCUCUGCCUCCUUCUGGCACAACCCGCGCAACCACUUCCGCUGCCAAGUCCAGUUCUAUGGGCUCGGGGACGACGAUGAGUGGGAACACGAUAGAGUCAAACCCAUCACCCAGAACGUCAGUGCUGAGGCCUGGGGCAGAGCAGACUGUGGCUUCACCUCGGUGUCCUACCAUCAGGGCGUCCUGUCUGCCACCAUCCUCUAUGAGAUCCUACUGGGGAAGGCCACGCUGUAUGCUGUGCUGGUCAGCGUCCUGGUGCUGAUGGCCAAGGUCAAGAGAAAGGGUUCCUGAAACUAGUUCGGAGGCAGAGCCAGCAGCUUCCAGCCUGCUGUUGCCCCAGGACGGAUUCUCCUUUUUCCACUUCUAGCCAGUGCUUCUCAAGAGCUGUCUUCAUCUCUCUGCUCACCCCCAACACCUACCCCCUAUGUUUGUGCACACCUGAAUGCUCAUGACCCAAAUCUCCCUAACCCCAGGGGGACCCUAGUGUGACCACAUUGACCGAAUCAAUAAAAAUGG